AGCGAACGCUGGCGGCAGGCCUAACACAUGCAAGUCGAACGAACUCUUCGGAGUUAGUGGCGGACGUGUGAGUAACACGUGGGAACUUGCCUUUUGGUUCGGAAUAACUCAGGGAAACUUGUGCUAAUACCGAAUGUGCCCUUCGGGGGAAAGAUUUAUCGCCAUUAGAGCGGCCCGCGUCUGAUUAGCUAGUUGGUGAGGUAACGGCUCACCAAGGCGACGAUCAGUAGCUGGUCUGAGAGGAUGACAAGCCACACUGGGACUGAGACACGGCCCAGACUCCUACGGGAGGGAGCAGUGGGGAAUCUUGCGCAAUGGGCGAAAGCCUGACGCAGCCAUGCCGCGUGAAUGAUGAAGGUCUUAGGAUUGUAAAAUUCUUUCACCGGGGACGAUAAUGACGGUACCCGGAGAAGAAGCCCCGGCUAACUUCGUG
rnacentral:rRNA from 1 species